ensembl:ncRNA R11B5.7 ncRNA
ACUUCCGGUUUAAUCCCAACGCUUCCUAUUUAUUUUUCUCAUAUUGUCAUGACCGCUCUAGUACCCAAAACAUCAUUAGGAAUUCUCUCAUAAUACAUGUUUAUUGAGAUUGGGGGGUGGGGGUUGAGGUUAUUAAUAAUCUGAUUUA